GACGAACGCUGGCGGCGUGCUUAACACAUGCAAGUCGAACGGAAAGGCCCUGCUUUUGUGGGGUGCUCGAGUGGCGAACGGGUGAGUAACACGUGAGUAACCUGCCCUUGACUUUGGGAUAACUUCAGGAAACUGGGGCUAAUACCGGAUAGGAGCUCCUGCUGCAUGGUGGGGGUUGGAGAGUUUCGGCGGUUGGGGAUGGACUCGCGGCUUAUCAGCUUGUUGGUGGGGUAGUGGCUUACCAAGGCUUUGACGGGUAGCCGGCCUGAGAGGGGGACCGGCAACAUUGGGCCUGAGAUACGGCCCAGACUCCUACGGGAGGCAGCAGUGGGGAAUAUUGAACAAUGGGCGGAAGCCUGAGGCAGCAACGCCGCGUGCGGGAUGACGGCCUUCGGGUUGUAAACCGUUUUCGCCUGUGACGAAGCGUGAGUGACGGUAAUGGGUAAAGAAGCACCGGCUAACUACGUG
rnacentral:rRNA from 1 species